rnacentral:rRNA from 1 species
CCUACGGGAGGCAGCAGUAGGGAAUCUUUCACCAUGGGCGAAAGCCUGAUGGAGCAACGCCGCGUGCAGGAUGAAGGCCUUCGGGUUGUAAACUGCUUUUAUAAGCGAGAAAUAUGAUGGUAACUUAUGAAUAAGGAUCGGCUAACUACGUGCCAGCAGCCGCGGUCAUACGUAGGAUCCGAGCAUUAUCCGGAGUGACUGGGUGUAAAGAGUUGCGUAGGUGGCAUAAUAAGUAGCUAGUGAAAUCUGGUGGCUCAACCAUUCAGACUAUUAGCUAAACUGUUAAGCUCGAGACCGUUAGGGGUAACUGGAAUUUCUAGUGUAGGAGUGAAAUCCGUAGAUAUUAGAAGGAACACCAAUAGCGUAGGCAGGUUGCUGGGACGGUUCUGACACUAAGGCACGAAAGCGUAGGGAGCAAACGGGAUUAGAUACCCCAGUAGUC